ACCAGGAUGGCCGAGAGGUUAAGGCGUUGGACUUAAAAUCCAAAGGAUAUAUAUCCGUUUGGGUUCAAACACCACUUCUGGUA